AGUAACGCGUGAGGAACCUGCCUCAAAGAGGGGGACAACAGUUGGAAACGACUGCUAAUACCGCAUAAGCCCACGGCUCGGCAUCGAGCAGAGGGAAAAGGAGCAAUCCGCUUUGAGAUGGCCUCGCGUCCGAUUAGCUAGUUGGUGAGGUAAUGGCCCACCAAGGCGACGAUCGGUGGCCGGACUGAGAGGUUGAACGGCCACAUUGGGACUGAGACACGGCCCAG
rnacentral:rRNA from 1 species